ACUCCUACGGGAGGCAGCAGUGGGGAAUAUUGGACAAUGGGGGGAACCCUGAUCCAGCCAUGCCGCGUGUGUGAAGAAGGCCUUUUGGUUGUAAAGCACUUUAAGCGAGGAGGAGGCUCCCAGUAUUAAUACUACUGGAGAGUGGACGUUACUCGCAGAAUAAGCACCGGCUAACUCUGUGCCAGCAGCCGCGGUAAUACAGAGGGUGCAAGCGUUAAUCGGAUUUACUGGGCGUAAAGCGUGCGUAGGUGGCCAAUUAAGUCAAAUGUGAAAUCCCCGAGCUUAACUUGGGAAUUGCAUUCGAUACUGGUUGGCUAGAGUAUGGGAGAGGAUGGUAGAAUUCCAGGUGUAGCGGUGAAAUGCGUAGAUAUCAGAAAGAACACCAAUGGCGAAGGCAGCCACCUGGGCCAACAUUGACGCUGAGGUACGAAAGCGUGGGGAGCAAACAGGAUUAGAUACCCU
rnacentral:rRNA from 1 species